rnacentral:rRNA from 1 species
AUUGAACGCUGGCGGCAGGCCUAACACAUGCAAGUCGAGCGGCAGCGGGAGGAAGCUUGCUUCCUCGCCGGCGAGCGGCGGACGGGUGAGUAAUGUCUGGGAAACUGCCCAAAAGAAGGGGAUAACAUUUGGAAACAAGUGCUAAUACCGUAUAACCAUGAUGACCGCAUGGUCAUGAUGUAAAAGGUGGUUUUGCUAUCGCUUUUGGAUGGACCCGCGGCGUAUUAACUAGUUGGUAAGGUAACGGCUUACCAAGGUGAUGAUACGUAGCCGAACUGAGAGGUUGAUCGGCCACAAUGGGACUGAGACACGGCCCAUACUCCUACGGGAGGCAGCAGUAGGGAAUCUUCCACAAUGGGCGCAAGCCUGAUGGAGCAACGCCGCGUGAAUGAAGAAGGUCUUCGGAUCGUAAAGUUCUGUUAUUAGAGAAGAACACGUGUAAGAGUAACUGAUUAUGCGUUGACGGUAUCUAAUCAGCAAGUCACGGCUAACUACGUGCCAGCAGCCGCCGUAACAC